CCUACGGGGGGCUGCAGUGAGGAAUAUUGGUCAAUGGACGAGAGUCUGAACCAGCCAAGUAGCGUGCAGGAUGAAGGCCUUCGGGUUGUAAACUGCUUUUAUAAGCGAGAAAUAUGAUGGUAACUUAUGAAUAAGGAACGGCUAACAACGUGCCAGCAGCCGCGGUCAUACGUAGGAGCCGAGCAUUAUCCGGAGUGACUGGGUGUAAAGAGUUGCGUAGGUGGGGUAAUAAGUAGCUAGUGAAAUCUGGUGGCUCAACCAUUCAGACUGUUAUCGAAACUGUUAAGCUCGAGACCAUUAGGGGAAACUGGAAUUUCUAGUGUAGGAGUGAAAUGCGUAGAUAUUAGAAAGAACACCGAUAGCGUAGGCAAGUUACUGGGACGGUUCUGACGCUGAGGCACGAAAGCGUAGGGAGCAAACGGGAUUAGAUACCCCUGUAGUC
rnacentral:rRNA from 1 species